CCUACGGGAGGCAGCAGUGAGGAAUAUUGGUCAAUGGGCGGAAGCCUGAACCAGCCAAGUCGCGUGAGGGAAUAAGGCCCUACGGGUCGUAAACCUCUUUUGCCGGGGAGCAAGGGCCGGGACGAGUCCCGGUCCGGAGAGUACCCGGAGAAAAAGCAUCGGCUAACUCCGUGCCAGCAGCCGCGGUAAUACGGAGGAUGAGAGCGUUAUCCGGAUUUAUUGGGUUUAAAGGGUGCGUAGGCGGGCGUUUAAGUCAGCGGUAAAAAUUCGGGGCUCAACCCCGUCCGGCCGUUGAAACUGGUGGCCUUGAGUGGGCGAGAAGAAGGCGGAAUGCGUGGUGUAGCGGUGAAAUGCAUAGAUAUCACGCAGAACCCCGAUUGCGAAGGCAGCCUUCCGGCGCCCUACUGACGCUGAGGCACGAAAGUGCGGGGAUCGAACAGGAUUAGAUACCCGAGUAGUC
rnacentral:rRNA from 1 species